AUUUGAAGGGAGUAGUAGCUAGGUUAUUAGAGAAGAAGACUUUAGACUUUGAGAAGAAGACUAUAUAUAUAUAUAUAUCUUCUUCUCAAAGUCUAAAGUCUUCUUCUCUAAUAACCUAGCUACUACUCCCUUCAAAUG
rnacentral:miRNA from 1 species